UAUGAAGAACGCAGCGAAAUGCGAUAAGUAAUGUGAAUUGCAGAAUUCAGUGAAUCAUCGAAUCUUUGAACGCACAUUGCGCCCAUUAGUAUUCUAGUGGGCAUGCCUGUUCGAGCGUCAUUGCUGCCCUCAAGCACGGCUUGUGUGUUGGGCCUCCGUCCUCCUCCCGGGGGACGGGCCCGAAAGGCAGCGGCGGCACCGCGUCCGGUCCUCGAGCGUAUGGGGCUUCGUCACCCGCUCUUGUAGGCCCGGCCGGCGCUUGCCGACACAUCAAUCUUUUUUCCAGGUUGACCUCGGAUCAGGUAGGGAUACCCGCUGAACUUAAGCAUAUCAAUAAGCGGAGGA
rnacentral:misc_RNA from 1 species